rnacentral:rRNA from 1 species
GACGAACGCUGGCGGCGUGCUUAACACAUGCAAGUCGAACGGAAAGGCCCUGCUUUUGUGGGGUGCUCGAGUGGCGAACGGGUGAGUAACACGUGAGUAACCUGCCCUUGACUUUGGGAUAACUUCAGGAAACUGGGGCUAAUACCGGAUAGGAGCUCCUGCUGCAUGGUGGGGGUUGGAAAGUUUCGGCGGUUGGGGAUGGACUCGCGGCUUAUCAGCUUGUUGGUGGGGUAGUGGCUUACCAAGGCUUUGACGGGUAGCCGGCCUGAGAGGGUGACCGGCCACAUUGGGACUGAGAUACGGCCCAGACUCAUACGGGAGGCAGCAGUGGGGAAUAUUGCACAAUGGGCGGAAGCCUGAUGCAGCAACGCCGCGUGCGGGAUGACGGCCUUCGGGUUGGAAACCGCUUUCGCCUGUGACGAAGCGUGAGUGACGGUAAUGGGGAAAGAAACACCGGCUAACUACGU